GGAUUAGAUACCCUGGUAGUCCACGCUGUAAACGAUCAUCACUCGCUGUUGGCGAUACACAGUCAGCGGCCAAGCGAAAGCAUUAAGUGAUGCACCUGGGAAGUACGGUCGCAAGAUUGAAACUCAAAGGAAUUGACGGGGGCCCGCACAAGCGGUGGAGCAUGUGGUUUAAUUCGAUGAUACGCGAGGAACCUUACCAGGGCUUAAAUGCAGAACGACAGUUUGGGAAACCAGAUUUUCUUCGGACGUUUUGCAAGGUGCUGCAUGGUUGUCGUCAGCUCGUGUUG
rnacentral:rRNA from 1 species